GAGACACCCUUAUGGGGCAAGACUUGCUUCAGUGGGGCUUUGGUGCUCAUUGACUCUGCCCCCUGAGUGUGUCCCU
rfam:Myotis lucifugus cont2.8572, whole genome shotgun sequence.